GUAGCUCUGCACAGGACAGGGUGGAGAGGAGCCUGGAGGUAGGCCCUGUAUUUCAGAUAAACAUGACUGUGGCCUGAGGCUCUCUCCAGGCACUGUCCAAAGGAUUUGGUCUCAGGACCAAAAUAUUAUAGGUUGAUAUGGUAUGAUAUGUUUCAUGUUGUAGGUUGAUAUGGUUUGGCUCUGUGUCCCCACCCAAAUCUCACUUUGAAUUUAAUCCUUAUACUCCUCAUAUGUCAAGGGCAGGACCAAGUGGAGGUUAAUUGAAUCUUGGGGGCAGUCUCCCCCAUGCUGUUGUCAUGAAAAUGAGUGAGUCUCAUGAGAUCUGAUGGUUUUAUAAGUGUCUUGUAUUUCCCCUGCUGGCACUUCUCCUUCCUGCCGCUUUGUGAAGAGGGUAUCUUGCUUCCCCUUCACCUUCCGCCAUGAUUAUAUGUUUCCUGAGGCCUCCCCAGC
rnacentral:lncRNA from 1 species